rnacentral:rRNA from 1 species
AGAGUUUGAUCAUGGCUCAGGACGAACGCUGGCGGCGUGCUUAACACAUGCAAGUCGAACGGAAAGGCCCUUCGGGGUACUCGAGUGGCGAACGGGUGAGUAACACGUGGGUGAUCUGCCCUGCACUUUGGGAUAAGCCUGGGAAACUGGGUCUAAUACCGAAUAUGACCAUGCACUUCCUGGUGUGUGGUGGAAAGCUUUUGCGGUGUGGGAUGGGCCCGCGGCCUAUCAGCUUGUUGGUGGGGUAAUGGCCUACCAAGGCGACGACGGGUAGCCGGCCUGAGAGGGUGACCGGCCACACUGGGACUGAGAUACGGCCCAGACUCCUACGGGAGGCAGCAGUGGGGAAUAUUGCACAAUGGGCGCAAGCCUGAUGCAGCGACGCCGCGUGAGGGAUGACGGCCUUCGGGUUGUAAACCUCUUUCAGCACAGACGAAGCGCAAGUGACGGUAUGUGCAGAAGAAGGACCGGCCAACCACGUGCCAGCAGCCGCGGUAAUACGUAGGGUCCGAGCGUUGUCCGGAAUUACUGGGCGUAAAGAGCUCGUAGGUGGUUUGUCGCGUUGUUCGUGAAAACUCACAGCUUAACUGUGGGCGUGCGGGCGAUACGGGCAGACUUGAGUACUGCAGGGGAGACUGGAAUUCCUGGUGUAGCGGUGGAAUGCGCAGAUAUUGGGAAGAACACCGGUGGCGUAGGCGACUAGCUGGGCCAUAACUGACACUGAGGAACGAAAGCCAGGGGAGCGAAUGGGAUUAGAUACCCCGGUAGUCC